CAGGUUUGAUUUAAGAAAUACAGUAAUGUUUUCAUGAAGGAAAAAAGCAUAUAAGCCUAUGAGCUUUGCUUGGACUUUAGCCCUGGGAAAGUCACCAAGUUGCACACUGUGGUACAGAAAAGCUGAAUGCAUCAGAUGUUAAUGACCAAAAGCAACACUUUUUACCUGUGAGAAGUCGGGAAAAUGGUCACUUCCUGGGGAAGGAACAGCUGGCAUGGAGCAUGAGGGGAC